rnacentral:lncRNA from 1 species
GUGGUCACCGGGUACAGGAUGCACAACAGAGGCUGGAAGUCGGUCUACUGCGUCACCAAGCGCGACGCCUUCCGCGGCACGGCGCCCAUCAACCUUACCGACCGGCUCCACCAGGUGCUCCGCUGGGCCACCGGCUCCGUGGAGAUCUUCUUCUCUCGCAACAAUGCCUUGUUAGCCAGCCCGAGGAUGAAGUUUCUGCAGAGGGUUGCGUACCUCAACGUCGGCAUCUAUCCCUUCACCUCCGUCUUCCUCAUAGUGUACUGCUUCCUGCCGGCGCUCUCGCUCUUCUCGGGACAGUUCAUCGUGCAGACCCUGAGC